rnacentral:tRNA from 1 species
GCCCCCGUAGCCCAAUGGCAGAGGCAGGAGCCUUAAAAGCUCUCCAGUGUCGGUUCGAGUCCGACCGGGGGUA